rnacentral:rRNA from 1 species
GACGAACGCUGGCGGCGUGCUUAACACAUGCAAGUCGAACGGAAAGGCCCUGCUUUUGUGGGGUGCUCGCGUGGCGAACGGGUGAGUAACACGUGAGUAUCCUGCCCUUUACUUUGGGAUAACUUCAGGAAACUGGGGCUAAUACCGGCUAGGAGCUCCUGCUGCAUGGUGGGGGUUGGAAAGUUUCGGCGGUUGGGGAUGGACUCGCGGCUUAUCAGCUUGUUGGUGGGGUAGUGGCUUACCAAGGCAUUGACGGGUAGCCCGCCUGGGAGGGUGACCGGGGACAUUGGGACUGAGAGAGGGCGCAGACGGCUACGGUGGGCAACAGGGGAGAACAUUGCACAAUGAGGCGAAGUGUGUGGCAGCGACGUCGGGUGCGGGAUGACGGCCUUGUGGUGGGAAACCGCAGUCGGCUGAGACGAAGCGGGAGUGACGGUAAUGGGUGAAGAAGCACCGGCUAACUACGUG